UCGGAGUGCUUGCACUCUGUGAAACAAGAUACAGGCUAGCGGCGGACGGGUGAGUAACACGUGGGUAACCUGCCCAAGAGAUCGGGAUAACACCUGGAAACAGAUGCUAAUACCGGAUAACAACAGAUGAUGCCUAUCAACUGUUUAAAAGAUGGUUCUGCUAUCACUCUUGGAUGGACCUGCGGUGCAUUAGCUAGUUGGUAGGGUAACGGCCUACCAAGGCGAUGAUGCAUAGCCGAGUUGAGAGACUGAUCGGCCACAUUGGGACUGAGACACGGCCCAAACUCCUACGGGAGGCAGCAGUAGGGAAUCUUCCACAAUGGACGCAAGUCUGAUGGAGCAACGCCGCGUGAGUGAAGAAGGGUUUCGGCUCGUAAAGCUCUGUUGUUGGUGAAGAAGGACAGGGGUAGUAACUGACCUUUGUUUGACGGUAAUCAAUUAGAAAGUCACGGCUAACUACGUGCCAGCAGCCGCGGUAAUACGUAGGUGGCAAGCGUUGUCCGGAUUUAUUGGGCGUAAAGCGAGUGCAGGCGGCUCGAUAAGUCUGAUGUGAAAGCCUUCGGCUCAACCGGAGAAUUGCAUCAGAAACUGUCGAGCUUGAGUACAGAAGAGGAGAGUGGAACUCCAUGUGUAGCGGUGAAAUG
rnacentral:rRNA from 1 species